GGGAUGAACGCUGGCGGCGUGCCUAAUACAUGCAAGUCGAGCGCCCCUUUAAGAGGUGACAAUCAAUGAUUGUCGGUUCCUAUGGGGGAGCGGCGGACGGCUGAGUAACGCGUGGGAACGUGCCCCAAAGUGAGGGAUAAGCACCGGAAACGGUGUCUAAUACUGCAUAUGAUCUUCGGAUUAAAGCUUUAUGCGUCGUUUGGGAGCGGCCUGCGUCCUAUUAGAUAGUUGGUGAGGUAAGGCUCACCAAGUCAACGAGUGGGUAGCUGGUCUAGAGAGGAUGGCCAGCCAGACUGGAACUGAGACACGGUCCAGACCGUCCGUAACGGGAGCAGCAGGUAAGGAAUCUACCAAC
rnacentral:rRNA from 1 species